rnacentral:rRNA from 1 species
AUUACUUUACUCUAAUAAGAAAUUUUGUGGUUAGUUAACUAUGGAAUGGAAGUUUUGCGUGCCCAGCAUGAAAUCUUGAACAAUAUUAGAAAUAAUAAUUCAGUUAACUAUAAUUAUAUAACAAAAAAGGUGCCAGCAGUUGCGGUCAUACCUUAAUAUAAAUAAAAUUUCAUUAGAUUGGGUUAAAAUUUUUAAAAAUAAAAAUUGGUAAAAUAUUCUUAUUUUAAAAUUCAAAAAUUUUAUUUUACCCUAAACUCCAAUUUUAAACUAGGAUUAGAUACCCUACUAUAAGGAGCAAAAAUAUUAAUCUAAGCACUAAAAUCUUAUGAUUCAAACUUAAAGAGUAUGGCGGUAAGUUUUACUAUUAGGGGAACUUACCAGAUAAUAGACAACACACAUGUUGCUCAACUUAAAUUUAUAGUUUAUAUAUUGCCGUUGUAAGGUUACACUUAAAGUGUAACUAUAAAUGAUUAUUCAUUAAAAACAGGUCAUGGUGUAGCCAAUAUUUAAGUCUUAAGGUGAGUUACAAUAUAAAUUUUCAGGUAAAGAAUUAAAAAUCUUUAAAUAGUUGGACUUAAAAGUAAUACCAAAAAUUAAGAUUUGAAUUUUUAAAAACUUGUGCACAAAUCGCCCGUCACUCUCGUUGAAAAAUGAGAUAAGUCGUAACAUAGUAGAGGUAGUGGAAACUGUCUCUG